rnacentral:rRNA from 1 species
UACACAUGCAAGUCGAGCGGUAGAGAGAAGCUUGCUUCUCUUGAGAGCGGCGGACGGGUGAGUAAUGCCUAGGAAUCUGCCUGGUAGUGGGGGAUAACGUUCGGAAACGGACGCUAAUACCGCAUACGUCCUACGGGAGAAAGCAGGGGACCUUCGGGCCUUGCGCUAUCAGAUGAGCCUAGGUCGGAUUAGCUAGUUGGUGGGGUAAUGGCUCACCAAGGCGACGAUCCGUAACUGGUCUGAGAGGAUGAUCAGUCACACUGGAACUGAGACACGGUCCAGACUCCUACGGGAGGCAGCAGUGGGGAAUAUUGGACAAUGGGCGAAAGCCUGAUCCAGCCAUGCCGCGUGUGUGAAGAAGGUCUUCGGAUUGUAAAGCACUUUAAGUUGGGAGGAAGGGCAGUAAAUUAAUACUUUGCUGUUUUGACGUUACCGACAGAAUAAGCACCGGCUAACUCUGUGCCAGCAGCCGCGGUAAUACAGAGGGUGCAAGCGUUAAUCGGAAUUACUGGGCGUAAAGCGCGCGUAGGUGGUUAGUUAAGUUGGAUGUGAAAUCCCCGGGCUCAACCUGGGAACUGCAUUCAAAACUGACUGACUAAAUUAUGGUAGAGGGUGGUGGAAUUUCCU